rnacentral:lncRNA from 13 species
AAAAAAAAAAAAAAGAAAAGAGUCAACUUAUGUAAAGUGUCCCUUUAUAUUUGGUGAUACUGCAUAGGACUUUGGUGACUGCAUGAUUCCUGGGUGUCCCUGAUUGAGAAUUUUAUGGGAAGUAGUCAAAAGAAGAGGAAGAAAGAACAUAUUUUCUGCGGAGGAGACUUUCAUUAGAAAUCCCCUCCUUAUCAGUCUUAUGCAUGGUCAGUACCAGAAGGAUCCUCUGAUACCAGGCAGUCUAACAAGGUAAUUUAUUUCAUUGUUUCUGAACCAAGUGGAGAAUACACAGAGCAAUUUCUGGUACUCAUUAAAUGCCAAAUAAUAAAAACAAGCUGUUAAAUUGCAGAGCAAGGGUACCACAAAAUCUGUAAUACAUAAUUUUAGCAAAAAAUUUUCUUUUGAGAAUAUGUUCAGCUAAUUUAAAGCAUAAUUUCAUUAGCAUAACCAUCUUUCCACACACAGCAGAGUAGAAUUCCUAAAACAUCACCAGCACUUGGGUUGAUAGGAUUUCGCCAUCACACUGGGUCCUCUCUACUGCUGGUUCUUAUCUCUCUGGCUAAGAAGCAGAGGCCCCUUUCUCCCAAUUUGUUUGAUCUCUUCCUGCAGCUCCCCCUGGAGCUCCCCCUGAAGAACAACAUCAAAGGCAUUUAGGGCUGGAAGCUGGUGGCCAGCCAUAUGGAAUUACAGCCCAGGCUCUUGCCGGAUUACAGAGUAUAACAUAUGAACCACAUGACAGUGCCAUGGCAUCGAGGGAAAGCUGAAAUGGGGUUUCACCGUGUUGGCCAGGCUGGUCUCAAACUCCUGAACUCAGACGAUCUGCCCGCCUCUGCCUCCCAAAGUGUUGGGAUUACAGGCGUGAGUCACAGUGCCUGUCCAAGAAUUAUGCUUUGAUCUGCAGUAAAAACAAAAAAAGGCUGGGUGCGGGGGUCAGGGGGAGUGGAUCACGAGGUCAAGAGAUUGAGACCAUCUUGACCAACAUGGUGAAAGCCCAGCUUUACUAAAAAUACAAAAAUUAGCCACAUGUGGUGGUGCGUGCUGGUAGAACCAGCCAGUCUAGAGGCUGAGGCAGGAGAAUCGCUUGAAUCCAGGAGGCGAAGGUUGCAGUGAGCCAAGAUCGUGCUACUCUACUCCAGCCUGGCAACAGAGCAAGACUCCAUCUCAAACAAACAAACAAAACCAAACAAGGAAAUUUAAAAAAAGAAUUAUGCUAAAGUGCAAGGCAUCAUGCUAAAAAUUAUUAUCAUAUCUGUAAGCCAAUGCUCAGUAAUUAUCCAGUAUAUUUAGGUGGAUUGAUGAAGAGCAUAGUAGGUUAAGAUUUAUAUUUGGCCAUAAAUAAUAGAAAACUCAAUUACAAUAACUUAAACACAUAGGGGUUUGUUUUUCUUACCUAACAAAAAGUCAGAGGAAGGUAUAGCCACUUAUGGAUGGUGUCUAGGACCUUGGCUCCUUUUAGCUUUCUGCCCCACUGCCCUUAAGAGAGUGGCUUUUGUUCUCAAGGUAGCAAGAUGGAUACUACAUCUCAAGGCUUCAUCUCAAUCCUCCAGGAGAGAAGAAAUGGGGAAGGAAGAUUAGAG